rnacentral:rRNA from 1 species
CGACCGCUGGCGGCGUGCCUACUACAUGCAAGUAGCACGCUGAAGGAGGAGCUUGCUUCUCUGGAUGAGUUGCGAACGGGUGAGUAACGCGUAGGUAACCUGCCUGGUAGCGGGGGAUAACUAUUGGAAACGAUAGCUAAUACCGCAUAAGAGUAGAUGUUGCAUGACAUUUGCUUAAAAGGUGCAAUUGCAUCACUACCAGAUGGACCUGCGUUGUAUUAGCUAGUUGGUGAGGUAACGGCUCACCAAGGCAACGAUACAUAGCCGACCUGAGAGGGUGAUCGGCCACACUGGGACUGAGACACGGCCCAGACUCCUACGGGAGGCAGCAGUAGGGAAUCUUCGGCAAUGGACGGAAGUCUGACCGAGCAACGCCGCGUGAGUGAAGAAGGUUUUCGGAUCGUAAAGCUCUGUUGUAAGAGAAGAACGAGUGUGAGAGUGGAAAGUUCACACUGUGACGGUAUCUUACCAGAAAGGGACGGCUAACUACGUG